GAUGAACGCUGGCGGCGUGCCUAACACAUGCAAGUCGAACGAACGUACGAGAAUCUUGCUUCUCUGAUGUUAGCGGCGGACGGGUCAUUCAUUCGUGGUUAACCUACCUCUAAGACUGGGAUAACUUCAGCAAACCGGAUCUCCUACCGGACAAUAUUUUGAACCGCAUGGUUCACACGUCUAAGCCGGUCUUGCUGUCACUUAUUGAUGGAUCCGCGCUGCAUUAGCUAGUUGGUAAGGUAACGGCUUACCAAGGCUACGAUGGAUAGCCGACCUGACAGGGUGAACAGCCACACGGGAACUGAGACACGGUCCAGACUCCGACGGGAGGCAGCAGUAGGGAAUCUUCCGCAAUGGGCGAAAGCCUGACGGAGCAACGCCGGGGGAGUGAUGAAGGACUUCGGAUCGUAAAACGCUGUUAGUAGGGAAGAACAUAAGUGUAAGUAACGGUGCAGAUCAUGACGGUACCUGAACAGAAAGCCACGGCUAACUACGUG
rnacentral:rRNA from 1 species